rnacentral:rRNA from 1 species
CUACGGGGCGCUCCAGUGAGGAAUAUUGCACAAUGGGGGGAACCCUGAUGCAGCAACGCCGCGUGGAGGAUGACGCAUUUCGGUGUGUAAACUCCUUUUAUAUGUCAAGAAAAUGACGGUAGCAUAUGAAUAAGUACCGGCUAACUCCGUGCCAGCAGCCGCGGUAAUACGGAGGGUGCAAGCGUUACUCGGAAUCACUGGGCGUAAAGGACGCGUAGGCGGGUUGGAAAGUCAGGUGUGAAAUCCUACAGCUUAACUGUAGAACUGCACUUGAAACUUCUAAUCUAGAGUAUGGGAGGGGGAGAUGGAAUUAGUGGUGUAGGUGUAAAAUCCGUAGAUAUCACUAGGAAUACCUAAAGCGAAGGCGAUCUCCUGGAACAUUACUGACGCUAAGGCGUGAAAGCGUGGGGAGCAAACAGGAUUAGAUACCCCUGUAGUC